UGGCUCAGUUGGUAGAGCAUGGCACUUGCAAUGUCAUGGUUGUGGGUUUGAUUCCCAC
rfam:Salmo salar isolate Sally breed double haploid chromosome ssa27, whole genome shotgun sequence.